GAAUUGGCUUCUAAUGAAUGGAGCCAUUGUUUAGCUCUAUCCUUAAGGGAAAAAGGAAAUAGCCUAAGUUUCAGAGCAUCAUCAGUGAAGUUCUGAAUUUUGACAGUGGUACAAAUCUCAAGGAGCUCAUCUAAAUAUUUGUAUGGGUCUUCAUUAUUGAGUCCAUAAAAAGAGGGAAGCAUUUGGAUGACACUAGACUUAAUUUCAAAUUGCAUAGCAGC
rnacentral:lncRNA from 1 species